rnacentral:rRNA from 1 species
GACGAACGCUGGCGGCGUGCUUAACACAUGCAAGUCGAACGGAAAGGCCCUGCUUUUGUGGGGUGCUCGAGUGGCGAACGGGUGAGUAACACGUGAGUAACCUGCCCUUGACCUUGGGAUAACUUCAGGAAACUGGGGCUAAUACCGGAUAGGAGCUCCUGCUGCAUGGUGGGGGUUGGAAAGUUUCGGCGGUUGGGGAUGGACUCGCGGCUUAUCAGCUUGUUGGUGGGGUAGUGGCUUACCAAGGCUUUGACGGGUAGCCGGCCUGAGAGGGUGACCGGCCACAUUGGGACUGAGAUACGGCCCAGACUCCUACGGGAGGCAGCAGUGGGGAAUAUUGCACAAUGGGCGGAAGCCUGAUGCAGCAACGCCGCGUGCGGGAUGCCGGCCUUCGGGUUGUAAACCGCUUUCGCCUGUGACGAAGCGUGAGUGACGGUAAUGGGUAAAGAAGCACCGGCUAACUACGUG